rnacentral:rRNA from 1 species
UACGGAGGGUGCGAGCGUUAAUCGGACUUACUGGGCGUAAAGGGUUCGUAGGCGGUUAGAUAAGUCGUAUGUGAAAUCCCUGGGCUCAACCUAGGAACUGCAUAUGAAACUAUUUGACUAGAGUAUAGUAGAGGAGAGGGGAAUUUCCGGUGUAGCGGUGAAAUGCGUAGAUAUCGGAAGGAACAUCAGUGGCGAAGGCGACUCUCUGGACUAAUACUGACGCUGAGGGACGAAAGCAUGGUUAGCAAAC